AACGUAGGAAGCGAGCGUUAUCCGGAUUUACUGGGCGUAAAGCGCGUGUAGGCGGUCUGGCAAGUUGGAUGUGAAAGCUCCUGGCCUAACUGGGAGAGGUCGUUCAAUACUGCGAGACUAGAGGAUGGGAGAGGGAAGUGGAAUUCCGGGUGUAGUGGUGAAAUGCGUAGAUAUCCGGAGGAACACCAGUGGCGAAAGCGGCUUCCUGGCCCACCCCUGACGCUCAGACGCGAAAGCUAGGGGAGCGAACGGG
rnacentral:rRNA from 1 species